CCGAUGACAAAGGCCAAUGCACCUGUAUAAUGGCCAUAUUUUUGUUUGCUGGCAAUGGUUUCCUGAACCCAGUCAGUAUAGCGGCACACAGCAGCAUACACCCCAGGAGCGCCAGCUUCAGCACAGCCAUAACCCCACGACACAACUCCAUACAGCUCUCCGUUACAAACCAGAGGGCCACCAGAAUCACCCUGAAAGAGAGCAUAUUCAAGGAGGAAAAGAUGCGUGCACCUGACAGGAGUCUUUGCCUCCUUCCAGGAAACCAGCACAGAACAUGUUAUCAGUGAUCAUGUGGCCAUAGGCAUCCACACACUGGGACUGGGAGAGCACCGGGAGGUCCAGGCAUUGCAGAAGUGACGCGUAGUUAACUGAAGAAUAUAGAACAAAUACAUCAGCAAUAAAAAAUGAUACAAGUGAAUAAAACAAACUACUUCA